rnacentral:rRNA from 1 species
GAUGAACGCUAGCGGCAGGCCUAAUACAUGCAAGUCGAACGGGAUCCAGAUCAAAGCUUGCUUUGGUUUGGUGAGAGUGGCGCACGGGUGCGUAACGCGUGAGCAACCUACCCUUGUCAGGGGGAUAGCCCGGCGAAAGUCGGAUUAAUACCGCAUGACAUCAUUGAGAGGCAUCUUUCGAUGAUCAAAGAUUUAUCGGACAAGGAUGGGCUCGCGNGACAUUAGCUAGUUGGUAAGGUAACGGCUUACCAAGGCUACGAUGUCUAGGGGCUCUGAGAGGAGAAUCCCCCACACUGGUACUGAGACACGGACCAGACUCCUACGGGAGGCAGCAGUAAGGAAUAUUGGUCAAUGGACGGAAGUCUGAACCAGCCAUGCCGCGUGCAGGAAGACGGCCCUAGUGGGUUGUAAACUGUCUUUUAUACGGGAACAAACGUCGGUACGUGUACCGGUCUGAGUGUACCGUAAGAAUAAGGAUCGGCUAACUCCGUGCCAGCCGCCGCC